UCUAGGAUAACAUAAGUAGUAUAAUAAAUAAAAACUAAGGUAUAAUGGCGGUCAUGAUAUAUUAAAGAAACUCGCUCAGUAAUCGACAACACCCGCUAAAUUUUUCUCUCCCAUUUCAAGCUUAUAUAUCGCCGUUUAGAGUAUAUACCAAAAUAAAACCCACACCCUGUCCCUUAAAAAAAAUCAGGUAAAGGUGUAGCUAACGAGAUAGAAUGAGUAAGUUACACUAAAAACCAUUUAAGAAAACUAACCUAAACCUGACAAGAAAGAGAAUUUAAUUGUAUAAUAAUAUUAAAAAUAUUUAUAGAAUUUAUAAAUCAAGACGC
rnacentral:rRNA from 1 species